rnacentral:snRNA from 1 species
UCCCUUCAGCAGGACAUAUACUAAAUUUUGAAUGAUACAGAGAAGAUUAGCAUGACCCCUGCGCAAGGAUGACAUGCAAAAAUUAAAAGUAUAUUU